CACGAGAGACACACAGAGAGAGAGAGAGAGACAGAGGGAGAAGCAGGUUCCCUGUGGGAGCCUGAUGUGGGACUCUAUCCCGGGGCCCCGGGGUCCCACCCUGGGCCCAAGGUGGACCCUCAACUGCUGAGCCCCCCGGGCGCCCCUACCCGUACCCUUCUUCCCACCUCGCAUCACCCUUCUCGCCCAGUGCAGUGUCUGCACCAUCCUGACCCCUUAACGUUAUCCUCCCAGAAAGUUUUCACUGGGGUCAGGAUAUACUACAAUAAACAGGACAUCAUUUUCCUUUUACAUAUUUGAACUCAAACCCUCCUCCUUCGCAUUUUAUUAUUUCAUUCUUACCAACUCUGGUGGCCACUCAGUUCACAGCAUUUGGGGAUAUGGGGCUGUUCGGGGCUCCCCCUUUGUAGUCCUUUUAUUCCUUUCUUACGUUUUCUCUGAUUCAGGCUCCUCCUUCUCAUUUUUUCUUUUUUCUUUUUUUACUCAUUGGAUUCCUCAAUCCCAUGGCCUCUCAUAAAUGACUUUGCCUCCUCUUUACUGAAACUCCAUUAAUUACCCAGGCCUUGCUUAAUUCCCUUGAACUUUCUGUCUCUAUCUUAUAUUCAGCUUCUUUCCAUUAUCUCAGGGAAAAAUCAUUCCUCUUCUCCUUAGAGAUUAAAGUUUUCUCCCCAAAGCUGCCUGGAACCAUUAGCCUCACACAAUUCCUUCUUUCUGACAAUUCUCUUUAGCUUUCAUUUGUAGUUUCUCUUUUUCUUUUCCCCAGGGAAAGACAAGAAUCCAAACCUUUGAUAGGCCUUGCUGCCGUCUUUCUGUCUUUGCAGCCCCUCUUCUGGAAUAAACACCACGUUCGUGUCGUGCUCCCCAUCCGUCCCCUGUCCCUGGCACCCCUCUCCACUCCUCUGUUGAAACUGCACUUUUUGAAAACGCCUUCCAUUCCUCGCCUCACUUUGUUCAUGUUUUCAUUUAAGUAGCCAAGCCCCGUUAGGAGAGCCGCUUCAGGCUCUCGCCUGCUCAUCCUCGCCACCUUCAUCAUUUCCGGGUCCUCUCUGGGUGAUUCUUCUUCUGGUUACAUGUUACAUGUUCCUGCUUCCUGACACAGUUAGUAAAAUUUUCUUGGACGCUGGGACGUUGUGGGUUUUACAUUGUUGAGUGUCUGUGUGGGUUUUGCUGUCUUCCUUUAAGAACUAUGUUUUGGGAUGCUGGGCAGUAAGGGCCCUUGAUCCUUUGGGGGCUUUGCUUUGCAGCCUUUUCAGGAUGGACAUAAAGUCAGCUUCAUAUUCCAGGAAUAGUUCAGUACCAUUACCGAAGCAUGGCUUUUCCAGGGUUCUGUAGAACACUGCUGGUGGUCAAGGAGGACACCCCCACUCCCACCUCGCCUCGUCACAACCUGAGCAGGCCCCGUGCAAGCCCACGAGCUGUACAGUUGCAGCUCCCCAGCCUCUCUCUACCCAAACCGUGGAACUUCACUGCACCCAGCCAGGACUCCAAAGAAGCCCAUGCGGACUUCUGGAACUCCUUUCCUAGGUGGCGUCCUUCUCUCUGCAGCUCUGGCCUGCAAACUUCCAGCAGCUUCAGCCCUCCUGGAUUCAGAUCUUUGUCACCUGCACUUAGUAAGACUAUUGUGUUUUACGUGGGACCCCCCCUUGCUCAUCCACACAGGGCAGAGGCCUCCAGGCAGAAAGCCAUGGCCUCUUAGAGGGAGGCCCUCUUCAAGGGAUUGCAGUCCCAGUCCCACGCUACCUGUCGGCCAGAGUCCAAAAAACAGUUGUCUCCCGUAUGUUGUCCAGUUUCCCAGUUGUUCAAGGUUAAUCCCAGGUGCAGUUAUUCAAUCGUGGCCAGGAGAUGGAGGGUCGGAAACUGCUUUUUUGAAGGAGAGCGGUGAUUGCUUCCAAGUCAUUGUGAGGGCCUUUCCUUAGUGUCCUGAGGUGGUGGCAACAUUCGGGGGGCACCUUAGGCUGUGCCCUGCUUGUCUGCCCUCACCUGCUCCCCUCCAGAGGGCCUGGUGAUUAGCUGAGCUCAGUGAUAAAGCAGGUGGGAGUCGAGGCUGGCAAUUUCCAGUUUGACCAGGGAACACAGCUGGGAGUGUGCAGGUGGCCGUCUCCGGACAGGUCAGCGCAGUUACCAUUUGACAGACAUUUGCUGCUUGAUUUUGGGCCCUCUGUGCCCUCAUCCAUUAGUAGGGUGGCUGAGAGUUGAGUGUGUUUAAUAUGUACAUAUUUUAGUAUUAAUGCUAUUAUUUUCCAAUCUCAGCUAGGGGAGUUCUGAAGGCUUUUCUAUUCUUAAGAAUGUAUGCUUGGGAGGAAAAAAAAAAGCAUGUAUGCUUGAGUGAUUUGAAAUUCAAAUUACCAAGAAUGUAAUCUUUGCCAGAUUUAUUGUAUUCCUUUUUUUUUUCUCGAUAGGUCUCUUUCAACUUAUGUAUAAUUCCUUUGUCGGGUUCUUCCCGGAGCCGACCCAGUGUUUAUUCUUUUUUCCUUUGUAUCUGUGUUUCUGUUCUGGGUGGCUUAGCAAUAUGCUAAAAUUUUCAGACUUUGUUAUCUCAGAUAAAAUUACGUAGGUUAAUAUCUUUUAUUGUAAAUUAUGUUUUCCAUUUACUUUGGCUAAUGAUUCCAGACCCCUACAGUUACAUCCAUAAAUUCAAGAUGAUUAUGCUGCCACUGAAAUUGAAGCCUCAUUUUUCCCCUGAGGAUAUUGCCAUUAAUUAUACAUAACUCCUCCGUGGAUUCAGUAUAAAACACAUUUAACUGUGUCAAAAAAGAUGUCUGUGAUAAACAGAAUAAUGAUUAAAAAAUAAUCUAGUCUUCUACAUUUGUCAAAAGAAAAUAGCUCAGAUACUCUGAUCACUUGCUGUAGUUUUUGUUGAUAGUGGACGGCAUUAAGGUAAACAUUAAGCAAGAGUUAAUUAUGUAUCUUUCAAUUAUUCUUCCAACUUUCAAGAAACUUGUCAACACAAGCUUGAUGCCUUGAGACAUAAAUGCCACUUUAAAGGAGUGAUUAUCAAGCUCAAACUGACAACUCUGUGUUUAAAAUCAAGGACAAUUAAAUAUUUGUUUAUCACAGGCAUUAACGUGAUGCCCUGUAGGCUUUGUUUCCCAUCCUUUUAAGAAUGUCUUAAAAAAAAAAAAAAGAAUGUCUACAAAAUGGACAGACUAAUUUUUAAGAAAUGCCUCUCACGGAUAAUGUUUCCUUAAAAAGGGGUUUUAAGACUCCUGUGCUGUUUGGCGCCCCUGGCUGCCUGGGUGUGCAGGAGGAUCCACCGAGGUGGCAUUCACAGUAUGGUUUAGAGACGCGAUAUGAAAAUUAUAGUGAAUAAUAGAAUCUUUGUCUUAGGCUAAAAAACAACAGUUGAGGCAAGGGUAUAUGCUAAUACAACCAGAAAGAAGGAGAUGAAAUCCCGGAGCAGGAGGAGUGAGCAGAGAGUCAGGGACGGAGGAACAAGACCUACAAAGUGGGUACAUCAGGGGAUUGGCUACGGCUCCAUGAGAAUCGUGGUGGUCUCAACACCACAUUACUUUCUCGAGUCGUGCCCUUGGAAUGGCGAGCACAAAGGUAUGCUCCAAGGACGGGGAAGACGGCGAGAAGCCCUGACCGCGUGGCCCUGGUGCGUGGGCUAGCCGGGGGUCACAUCCUCUCGACGAGCUCUUCCAACACCAAGAGCCCAGGGUCUGCCUUGGGUUCUUCCACCUUCAACCUGUUGCCUUCAGCCUUAGACUCCUUGCCUCAUAACCUCCAAACGAUUCCUGCAGCUUCCCAGGACGUUCAGAAGGACAGGAAGAAAGGGGACAAGGAUGGCCCUCCUCUCAGGUACUGCUGACUGACCAAAGCCUACUCUCCCAGAGGCUACGGGCACAGCCUCUUCUACCCCAGGACCCUGAAGUGGGCCGCACGUCCCAGCCCUGGAUCAAUCAGUGGAUAAACAGAUUAAGAUUGUUGCCAUUAACUCCACUCAGCGGAGACGAGUCGUCUGUGGCUGGCAGAGUGCCCAGCACAUGGCAUCCUUGCAACCGACAAGCAUCUGGACAAGCCUCGUAUGCUGGCGCCCGCAGACGGAUGAGGCACAGCCCCUGCCCUGAUGGGGUGCUCCCUGGAGCAGGCGAGGAUGACACAUGAACUCGUGGCUGUGAAGUAGGAGGAGCAGCGGAGGAAUAUGCCAAGUGGGGGAAGAGUUCAUUCAUGGAGGGACGACUGGGAAUAGGAAAGCGACGGCUCAGCGGAUGCAGCACUUGAAUUGGGCACUAAAGGAAGAAAGGACGGAGGGGGGCAGGAGAAAUGCCAGGAGUGCGGUGUAAGUCAACUGUACGUCAAAUUUACUGGCGGUGAUGACAGUGGUCGAGUGGCCAGGCUGAGGGAUGAGCCCAAAUGUGUCCAGGUUACGUGGGUUUUAGUUUGGUGUGAAACAAAUAAGCGAGUGUCGACUCCCACAUAAGGAUGGACUUUACCAGUGGGGGAAACUAGCUGAUGUCCCCUUAAUUCUUGGGAGUUGACUCUCUCCAGAACAUACCCUGUUGACAGGUAAAUGUUUUGGGCUAGCGUUAUUCAUUACUGACAUUCAACAGGAGGGGUGGAGGGCUGGCGAUCAGGAUGGAGGCCAGGCCAGGGCACUGGUCAAAAGUGCCUUCUCCAAAUCGCAAGCACGCUACCUGCCGUCCCGGACCGACUCGGGUUUGGGGCCCUUCCGUGCCCUGGACACGCCUCAAACAGCACUGCCACCUGCCGCGGCUGGAGUCACGGCGCCACGGGCCUCCCUGAUGCCAUGCGGUUGCCGGACGCCGUCUUUGGCCUUUGACCUUUGGCUUCUUCACUAGAACACGCAGCUUUAUUUGACUGAGAUAAACAACAAAAAAAGCCAGAAACGUUAAAUAUGACUGGUUUUUUUAAAGAGACAUGUGGCUUCAAAGGCUGUCAUGGCCUUUCCUUCCUAUUGUGACAAUCCGGGGUCGCGCCUUGCGGGGGGCGGCCAGCCACCAGGCCCUGUCACACGAGGCCCGCAGCCCUCCCCGGGGGCUGCUGCCCCACAGAGACCCCACAGCUCAUGCCACCCCCCCCCACGGGGACGGUGACCCACAAGGUGACCCAAGGUGACCCACAAGGUGACCAUCCCCUCAUCCUGAGGCAGGUCCCAGGUGGCUCGGGCUGGAGGGAGCGCGCUGCGGCCGGGCUGGGGAAGCGGGGUUCUGUCGCGGGGGUCGGCCUCCGGGCACGGCCACCCCUUGCCAUGGGCUCGGCAGCGCCCUGGCCCCCUGCCCUGCCAGGUGGCCCUGGCCCUCGGCACCGUGUCGGAGGGAAGGGGCGGCCCUGGAUGGGGGGGGGCUCAGGCCCAGACGCCGCCCGGGCCCUGUGAGCCGCCUCCUGCCAGUCUCGGCGUCACGGCCGCGGGGCCUCCACGCCCGGCCCGGCCUGACCUUCGCCCUCCCGCCCCGGCCAGGCUCUGGGCCCGCGGCGCCCGCAACUCGCCCGCAAGCUGCAGCGGCUCAGCACCGCCUUGGGCCCAGGCCGACCCGGGUCCCGGGAUCGAGGCUGCGUCGGGCUCCCUGCGGGGGGCCUGCUGCUCCCUCGGCCUUCG